UACGGGGGGGGCAAGCGUUACUCGGAAUUACUAGGCGUAAAGGGCAGGUAGGUGGUUUGGUAAGUCUGUUGUGAAAGCUCCUUGCUUAACGGGGAGAGGCCAACAGAUACUGCCAAGCUUGAGUAUGGGAGAGGGUACUGGAAUUCCCGGUGUAGCGGUGAAAUGCGCAGAGAUCGGGAGGAACACCAAUGGCGAAAGCAGGUACCUGGACCAUUACUGACACUCAGCUGCGAAAGCUAGGGGAGCAAACAGG
rnacentral:rRNA from 1 species